AAAAUGCGAUACUUGGUGUGAAUUGCAGAAUCCCGUGAACCAUCGAGUUUUUGAACGCAAGUUGCGCCCAAAGCCAUCCGGUUGAGGGCACGCCUGCCUGGGCGUCUCGCAUCGCGUCGCUCCCCCAUGUAUAUCAGAUUUGGGAUGCAUGGUGUCGGGGCGGAGAUUGGUCUCCCGUGCAACUGUUGCGGUUGUCCCAAACAUGAGUCACCUUCGGUUGACGCACGGCUAGUGGUGGUUGAAUAGGCCCUCGUCCUUUGUCGUGCGUCGUUUUCUGCAAGGAAAGCUCUUGUAUAAGACCCUAAUGCGUUGUCCUGUGAUGACGUUUCGACCGCGACCCCAGGUCAGGCGGGACUACCCGCUGAGUUUAA
rnacentral:misc_RNA from 1 species